GUAGGAGCUCCAACCUGGUUCAGACGGUGAUCAGAUCUGGUCCGGGUCGCUCCAUAUCUACAAGUUCAGCUCAGAAACCUUUAAUAUGUCUUAUCAGAAUUUGACUCAGUAGGAAACACAAUCAUGGGGAUGACUGCUGACUGUACAGAUGUCCAGAAGACAGCCAUGGGCACCGUCUUUGCUAAACAAGCUGGUGUUGAAAAAUCCAAGGUAAAACCCCCUUGGAGCGUGGGCCCUCUUAGGAGAGGCAGAGGUGAGACCUGUUGGUUAAUUCUGCACCAAGUGCUCUCCUUUAUCAUGUAUUUCACAGACCCAGAACCUGCAACUAUUUGCUGGAGCUCUGACAUAAAUAAUACAGCAGGGGGGAGUGAAUACUUUUGUCAGGCCAGGCAGAGUAUCAGUUCAUGAAACAAAGAUACUUUGUAAAUUUUGAUCAACACUGGCUCUUCACAGAGAGCUGUAUCCAAACAUAUUCACAGGACACUGAGUGGAAGGAAAAAGUGCUCCGGCAGCAACCGCAACCUUGAGAGGAUUGUCAAGCAAACUCUGUUUAAGAAUCUGGUGGAGCUUCACAAGAGGUGGACUGAUGCUGGAGUCACAUCAUCAAGAUCCACUACACACAGACGGAUCUGACACAUGGGCUACAAGCAUCUUACCUGGGCUGAGGAGAAACAGAACCAGACUGUUGCUCAGGUCCAAAGUCCUCUUUUCACAUGAAAGUAAAGUGUUCAUUUCAUUUGGAGAUCAAGGUCCCAGAGUCUGGAGGAAGAGUGGAGAGGCCCAGAAUCCACGUUGCUUGAAGUCCAGUGGGAAGUUUCCACAGUCACUGAUGGUUUGGGUGACAUGACAUCUGCUGGUUCUGGUCCAGUGGGUUUUUCUAAAGUCCACAGUCAACACAGCCAUCUACCAGGACAUUUUAAAGCACUUCAUGCUUCCUGCUGCUGACAAGCUUUAUGGAGAUACUGAUUUCAUUUUCCAGCAGAACAUGGUACCGACCCACACUGCCAAAGGUACCAAAAGCUGGUCCAAUGACCAUGGUGGUACUGGGCUUGACUUGCCAGCAAAUUGGGCUGAGCAGAACCCCAUAGAGAAUCUAUGGAGUUCUGACAAGAGGAAGAUGAGAGACACCAGAACCAAGAAUGAAGAUGCUAUCAAAGCAAUCUGGACUUCCUGAACACCUCACCAGAACCACAGGUUGAUCUCCUCCCUGCCACGCCGCAUUGAUGCAAUAACUCAGGCAAAAGGAGCCCAGACCAGGUACUGAGUCCAUAGAAAUGAACAAACUAUUCAGAAGUCUGACAUUUCUGUUUAAAAUGUCAUUUUUAUUGAUCUGAUGUAAUAUUCUGAUGUUCUGAGACUCUGAAGUUUGGGUUUUGAUUCUCUGUAAACCAGAACCAUCAGAAUUACAAGAAAUAAAGGCUUGAAACAUUUCAA